UCGUGUGCAGGCCAAAAGUAU
rnacentral:siRNA from 1 species